UUUGGUUACAACAUUUCUAUUCCCCGGUUGUAACGGAAUGAUCUUGUUUUAAUCCAUUGGGUACGGUGUCAUAAUAUAGAGGUUUACGCUAAGAUAUGUAAACACGUCUGACCAUCCAUUAUUUUAAUAACAAAUAAUGAGAGUUCGAUGUGACAUCACUGGUAAUAUUAAUUAUAAUGUGCAAACUAAAGAACGGCUUCAUUCCAAGACAAUUUCGACACCC
rnacentral:lncRNA from 1 species